UACAGAGGGGGCAAGCGUUGUUCGGAAUUACUGGGCGUAAAGGGCUCGUAGGCGGCCAACUAAGUCAGACGUGAAAUCCCUCAGCUUAACUGGGGAACUGCGUCUGAUACUGGAUGGCUUGGAUUCGGGAGAGGAAUGCGGAAUUCCAGGUGUAGCGGUGAAAUGCGUAGAUAUCAGGAGGAACACCAGUGGCGAAAGCGGCUACCUGGCCCAUUCUUGACGCUGAGGCGCGAAAGCUAGGGGAGCAAACGGG
rnacentral:rRNA from 1 species